rnacentral:rRNA from 1 species
AACGAACGCUGGCGGCAGGCUUAACACAUGCAAGUCGAGCGCCCCGCAAGGGGAGCGGCAGACGGGUGAGUAACGCGUGGGAAUCUACCCAUCUCUACGGAAUAACGCAUGGAAACGUGUGCUAAUACCGUAUACGUCCUUCGGGAGAACGAUUUAUCGGAGAUGGAUGAGCCCGCGUUGGAUUAGCUAGUUGGUGGGGUAAAGGCCUACCAAGGCGACGAUCCAUAGCUGGUCUGAGAGGAUGAUCAGCCACACUGGGACUGAGACACGGCCCAGACUCCUACGGGAGGCAGCAGUGGGGAAUAUUGGACAAUGGGCGCAAGCCUGAUCCAGACAUGCCGCGUGAGUGAUGAAGGCCCUAGGGUUGUAAAGCUCUUUCACCGGUGAAGAUAAUGACGGUAACCGGAGAAGAAGCCCCGGCUAACUUCGUGCCAGCAGCCGCCGUAAUAC